GCCAAAGCACUACAGUGGUUAAUGUUCAACGUUGUGGCCGUGGCGAUACAGGUUCGAUUCCUGUCUUCGGCA
rnacentral:tRNA from 1 species